rnacentral:lncRNA from 1 species
GGAGGUUCCCAGGCCAGGGGUCUAAUUAGAGCUGUAGCCACCAGCCUACACCAGAGCCACAGCAACGCUGGAUCCGAGCCGCAUCUGCAACCUACAUCACAGCUCACGGCAAUGCCAGAUCCUUAACCACAGAGCAAGGCCAGGGAUCGAACCUGAAACCUCAUGGUUCCUAGUCAGAUUCGUUAACCACUGAGCUACAAUAGGAACUCCAAGAUUACAUUACAUAAUAAAUACUGUAUAAUUUUCUUGAUAAUCAGGUAAGUUAGGUUUUUCAGGUCUUUUUUUUUUCUUUUUGGUUUGUUUUGUUUUUUAUUUUGUUGUAGUUGCUGCUUCAUCUUAUGUUUUAGGAAAUUAAGGUUUAGAGGGGUGAAGAAAAUUUUCUGAGUUUACACAACUAAUAAUAAAUGGCAGAUCCAAACCCAGGCCUAUAUUAUACUAAAGGGACAUUGCCAAAUUUAACAAAUACAGAUGUAAGACAACCAUUUAUUCUGAAUUUCAGAUAAACCACAAAUAAUUUUUAAAAUUUUUUUAAAUUGUAUUUUUUUACUAAAGUAUAGUUGAUUUAAAAUGUUGUGCCAAUUUCUGCUGUACAGAAAACAGCAAAGUGACUCAGUUACACACACACACACACACACACACACACACACAUGCAUUCUUUUCUUUUUGUUGCACUCAUGGCAUGUGGAAGCUCCUGAAAAAAUAUAAGCCGAGGAAAGAAGCAAUUGAACUUCAUGUUGUCAUGAUAUUCAGAGGUCAAUUUUUUUUUUAGUGAAUAACCAGUUAAAUCAAAUGCUCAUUUGAUAGGCUGCUACAGUUCUUCUGGACACUGGCCAUGGGAAUUAAGGCUGAUAUCCUUGAAAACACUGUAUAUAUCAAAUUUGAAUAUUCCCUUUUCUCCACUGUGAAAUUACUCGUUUCCAUUCAAAGCCUAUUCUGACUAUUAGGGUUGGCUAUUCAGAGCAGAGAUGAUUCAAUCAUGCUAAAUUUUUUUCCAGAUUUUGAAUUAUUUACUAAUCCUGAGACCCCUUGUACAGAUUAAGAAAUUAAAAUGAUCAUUAAUUUAAGUAAAAUGAGCUCAACUUAAUGUUUUUUCUGUUAAUGCUACAAAGGAGCUUAAAUCCUAAGAAAUCCUAGAAAGAUACCAUUACAUUCCUUUGAGAUUUCACCUUUCCGUGUUCUUUCAAAUUUUAUUUAUUUAUUUAUUUUUUUGGCCUUGAGAAUGUAUUUCUUUUACUUGGUUUUUGAUAUUGUGUGUAAUCUUCAAUUGUAUCCUGGACACUAUGAAUUUUAAGUACUGGGCAUUCUGGAUUCUGUUAUUUUUCUCCGACCAGAAUUUGCUUUUAGAAAGUCAUUUUCUCCCCUGAGUCUGUACCAACUCUGCUGGAUUUCUUGAGUGGCCACUCGCAUUUCAGUUUAGGACAUUUGCCUUGAGCUGAGUUGUUUCAGUCUGCUUUAUGCAUGUAUGUUCAGGGGUCAAUCACAAAUACAGGCAGUCAGAAUCUGGAGAUCCACUUUUGGGCUCUUGCCCUUGUGAGGUUUACUCACUCACUUCAGGUUUUGUGGCUUCUAAUUUCACUGGCCAGAAGGCCGUGGUCUUUCUGAGCCCCCGCUUCUUCUACAUGUAUCUCCUGGACAGCACUCAGCCCAGGAUAAUAGCUGUGGAGAUGGAAAUUUACUUAAAGUCAACGCCCUGUGUUCUCUCUUUCAAGCAAGCACGAACUCCCCAACAGGUCUGUCUUCUGUCCACUGCCCAGUAAUUUCAGGUAACAGUUUUAUGUAUUAUUUCCAGGUUUUAAAUUGUUUUCUGCAGAUUUUUUUUUUUCUAGUAGGGUCUUAGUCCAUCAUUUCCAGAAAUAGAACGCCCUACCUAAAUCCCUACUCUUCCAAACUACAAAGACACCAUUGAAUCCAUGCAUCUAUCUUGGAUUUGUUUGAAAUACCACUCCACCAAAGGCAACUCCUUUAAUUUCUAGUAGGUCCAACAUGACUAUAUGCUCUCAAUUAUUCAGUGUUAGUCAUUCUUGUACAUCUAGAUUUCAAUAAUUAUUUAUGUUCCCCUGAUAUUAUAUUCUUCUCUUCAUUAGUAUGGCCAUUAACCUACCAUCAAAUGGUAAAGUUCAAAAUAAUUAACUCUUAGUCAUGAUUUUUAGAAGACGUUCAGAAAAACAAAUAAGAGAGGAGCUGCGUAGUUGUGACUACAGUGAGGUUUGGGAAGUUCCCUGGGAACUCUGUUUUCUCAUACUGCGCUUGACCCCAUCUCUGUUUUAACUGUGUGAUCGGCUCUGCCAAGUUUCCUCUUGAAGCCAAUUUUAAGUUCUCUUUUUAAUUUGGUGGAUUAACCAAUGUACUCAUUGCAUAUUUAUUUACUAAACACUUUUUACUUCUCCCUCCUAAUUAUAUCUCUUUGUCUCUGCUAUUUAUCUCUGUUUCCCCUAUUGUGGUCUCUUUAUUGUGCCACCCACAAAGCCAGUAGCCUACCUUUGAUACAGUUUCUUACUUGGGCACUUUUUGUAUCCUUCCUUCCUUCUCAGAUAUGUACCCAUCACAGUAGCAACAGGUUACAAAAGAGUAAAUUUUUUCGUUCGUUGACAUCAUCCAUUUUCCCCAUACAACUGGGUCGAUCUUGAAGUAGUGUAAAUAUUUGCUUAGGAUUUUAUCCUAAUAUCCCACUCAGUGAGACAUCCGUGCUGAUAAAACAGCAGGGACGUGUCACAGAGCAGUUUCUACAUUCUACAACUCAACAACUAAAGGGAAUCUUUAUUUAAUUAAGUUUUUUUUAUCUGUCUCAUUUCCGCUCAUAAACAACACUGAAUUUCUCAGGGCCCUUAUUUGCAUUUUCCAUUUCCUUUACGCUAAUGGUGCCUUGAAUUCUUGGCUAGACCUCAUCAGAAAAGUCAUUUUCCCUUGAGUAUGAGUAACAGAUGGAGUAUACCUUUUAGACCUGCUCUAGAUUUCCCAACAGUCUUAGAAUGAAGCAGGUCACUGCCAAACCUAUUGUCUGGGAGGAUUCAAAUCCCACAGGUUUCGACAUCUAAUCAAGAGAGAUCAGACAAGAUACAAAUAAGCUGCCAAUAAUUAUUUUUUUCACAUGUAGUUUAAGAGAAAGAUAAUUUGCGGUUAUAUGUGGAUAUAAAAUACAUAUGCAGUACUUUAUGUCAGACACUGUUCAAGCACUUUGCUGAUGAGACUUUAAAUAGAUAUUCAAAGGGAAAAACAUAACAGGUCCAAGUUGCACACACUGGCUGUUUUUUUUCAGACCUGGAAGUUAGUGAGUUGGGGCUGGGUGAGAUGGCAGAAGUCAUAGAUUCUUAAAGUUCUCCUUUGUCAUUGAGAGAUUAUUGGGACGUGCUAAAGGUCUUAUCUGGGUGAGGAGUGACACAGCAGGGCGCACGAACGUCUUCGUGUGGAGGGCAGUGGAUCAGGAUCUUGUUUUUGUGGAAGGGUAGAGAAAUAUGUGUUUGAUUACAAGUAUCAAAAAGGCGGGGUGUUUCUGGGAAGUUGACCUGCACUGGGGGCCAGUAGUCAGUCUGCAGAACACGCUGGUCAGGAAGCCUGGUGGGCGUUCAGGACCCAACCCUUUCCAAAUCCCUUGGGAGUGACAAAGAGGAAUUUCUCACACCUACUCAGAGCCUGGCUCUCCGUGGGUGGUAUUACCCACAGCUGUACAUAGUCUAAAUGUGCUAGCAUCUUUUAGGAGCUGCCUCUGGUGGAACACAAGAAUAUAAAAAUACUGUGACCUAAAAAAAAUUGCCCUUCUCUGAACUCUAGGCAAAGUUGUAAACAUUGCUGACAUUUCUUUCUUUCUUUUUUUUUUUUUUUUUUUUUUUUUCUUUUUUUUUUUUUUUUGCCAUUUCUUGGGCCACUUCCGCCCCGGCAUAUGGAGGUUCCCAGGCUAGGGGUCAAAUCGGAGCUGUAGCCGCCAGCCUACACCAGAGCCACAGCAACACGGGAUCCGAGCCGCGUCUGCGACCUACACCGCAGUUCAUGGCAACGCCGGAUCGUUAACCCGCUGAGCAAGGGCAGGGACCGAACCUGCAACCUCAUGGUUCCUAGUCCGAUUCAUUAACCACUGCGCCACGAUGGGAACUCCUGCUGACAUUUCUUGAUGUCAAUUGGAUUGUACUUUCUAGCAUUCUUUCUUCAUUGGUUUAGACUGGACUGAGACAUACAAAUGAUGACCGUAUUCCUAAUGAUAAUAUCUAUAAUUGUCCAAAAAUCUACUAAAACUGUACGAGAUAAAAAGUUUAAAACAUGACUUUAACAAUCAUGACUAUGAAGACCUUGAAGAACGGAGUUUUAGGUUAAUUCUGAAGAGUUUUACCUGUCUAGAAUGUCCAUUGCCUAUCCCUUGCCUAUUGAAUAGGAUGCUUUCUGAGCUAUCCUGCAUCCUGCGCUUGUGCAGUGUUUGAAGUGCCCCUGGAGAGCGUUAUGAUUUCCUUUGUACUUUUCAUACAAAUUUAGCACAUUUACAUGCAACUCCAGGGUUAUCGAAAAAGGAAAUGGAGAAUUCAAAAUUGAGGAAAACGCUAAUUUGAACACAGUGUUCAGUAGGGCUAUUUUAGGAUAGUAUAUCAAAUGUAAUGGAAAGAGGGGAGACGUACUAAUAAGCUCUUAUAUUAGAGCAAAGUAAAAAAAAGACACUUAUUUGAAUUGGAUGUAGCAACAUGACUUAUGACCUUCUAAGAAAAUGUAUCUAAUUGGAAUUGGU